rnacentral:rRNA from 1 species
GCAAGUCGAGGGGUAACGAUGUCUUCGGACAGGCGACGACCGGCGCACGGGUGCGUAACGCGUAUGCAACCUACCUUUAACUGGAGGAUAGCCCCGAGAAAUCGGGAUUAAUACUCCAUAGUAUUCAUUAGUGGCAUCACUGAUGACUUAAAGCUCCGGCGGUUAAAGAUGGGCAUGCGUGACAUUAGUUUGUUGGUGAGGUAACGGCUCACCAAGACUACGAUGGGUAGGGGGCCUGAGAGGGUGAUC